AAAGCUUCAGCAAACGAACUACACGAUCUAGUGCUAUGCUUAGGAUUGGGUCUUGUCCAUCACAUCAUUCUCCUAAUGAUGUGAUCCCGUUAUCAAUGACAUCCAAUGUCCAUGGUCAGGAAACUGUAACCAUCUAUUGAUCAACGAGCUAGUCAACUAGAGGCUCACUAGGGACAUGUUAUGGUCUAUGGGUUCACACAUGUAUUACGAUUUCCGGAUAACACAAUUAUAGCAUGAACAAUAGACGGUUAUCAUGAACAAGGAAAUAUAAUAAUAACCAUUUUAUUAUUGCCUCUAGGGCAUAUUUCCAACACAAUGCCCUCUCCUCCAGCUCAUAAAUCAUGAAGCCGUGUCGGGCCAUUAAUCUUCUCCUCUAGCAAGCACCUGGGUGAAGAUACUAAAUCAAACACACACAAAAGUGCCAAUGAAACACAGAUUCUGCGGCACAAACUGAAGGUACGACAAACAUUUGCUGCAGUAGUAGUUUAAACACAUGUUGAUUGCAACGGAGAACAGGAUGGUUCUCAUCAUUCUCAUUUAAGCCCAGUCAUCUCAUUCAUGUCAAGGGUACUGUAAAACAUGAUUGUUAAAAUUCAGAAACAUCAACUAUAUAACCUCCUGACUAUCACCAAAAAAAGAAGUGAAUCCCUGCCACCGGAGAUCUUGGCACAACAAAAUCGAAGCCACUCACAUGGGCACGUUCCUUAAUCUCCACAUACAUGUUGCACGCCUCAGGGUCUAGCUUACCAGAACUGAGCUCUUCGCAUCCACUAAACACAAUCUGAUACAAAUAGACCAUUCUACCACGGAGCUCGGGGAGAAACAUGGCGGCGGCUCCUCGCCCUUUCACAAUGAGCAUGUUUGAGCCAAUCAAGAAGGCAAAAAGGAAAUGAACAAAACAAUUGCAACUGUAGAAAUCAGGAUGCUCCCUGCAAAUAACAUAUCUCAAGAACCCAUAAAAAAUGAAACUGCAGUCCAUAGGGCAGGCUGCGAAGUAUGUGUGGCAGCAAACAAGAACUGCAUGAUCAGAUCAUCCUCGUUGGCCGGCAUGAUGUCCUAGUCACAUAGCGGUGGUGCUACUAAUUAAAUUGAUAACUGUGAUGCUUUUAUCUAAAUCUGAAGACAACAAAUGGUGUCAUGAGACCGAGUUUAACUAUGUGUGGAGGCAAACAAAUAUGGUUUUAGAAUGGCUACAGCCAAAACUACUUUUGUAUUGACUAACAAUAAAAAAUAAUUAGAAUAAUAACGUGAGAAUGAGGUUAGUAGAAUCAUGUCUUGGAAAUUAUGCAUUUUUUGUAUUUUCUGCCUUUCGUGUCAAUGUCAAACAGCAUACACUUCGUACAAUACACUAACUGGUAAUUGUCAGACAAACAGGAAAAUGACACCACUGAAUAUGACCUAAACAUGAAAAGGUUAACUCAUGGAAAUUUAACAGACUAUCUACAAGAAGCAAUGUUCUCUUUCCAUCUUUUGUAUCUCCGUCAAGCAAGCCAUGAGUAACAAAGAUGACAAGUUGGAACAGUACAUGAGCAUCUGAAUAUUUCAGAACUAAGUCUUAGGGGUUCAGGGAUGUGAAACUGCGCACACGCGCACGCACAAACAGAGUGAGCGAGUGAGUGCCUGGUUGAGUCUCGGAGAGAGAGAGAGAGAGAGAGAGAUGGGGAUCGUACCGAAUCCAAAGCAACAGGAGCCAAGCUGCGAGAAAUCCAUCGACGGUGGCUCAGAUCCCGCGCCAACCCGACCAGCCCCUCGAACGGAAUGCAUCACGGGCCCUGCCUCUCGGUCCACAGCCCGCGCCGCCGCGGAUGUCCCGAGCCCCGUGGAGUGCGCCGCCGGCCAC
rnacentral:lncRNA from 1 species